CCCCUAGUAACUGCGAGUGAAGCGGGAAGAGCUCAAAUUUAAAAUCUGGCAGUUUUUGAAGCUGUCCGAGUUGUAAUUUAGAGAAGUGUUUUCUGUGCCAGACUGUGUACAAGUCUCCUGGAAUGGAGCGUCAUAGAGGGUGAGAAUCCCGUCUUUGACACAGAACCCUGGUGCUAUGUGAUACACUCUCGAAGAGUCGAGUUGUUUGGGAAUGCAGCUCAAAAUGGGUGGUGAACUCCAUCUAAAGCUAAAUAUUGGCGAGAGACCGAUAGCGAACAAGUACCGUGAGGGAAAGAUGAAAAGCACUUUGGAAAGAGAGUGAAACAGUACGUGAAAUUGCUGAAAGGGAAACGCUUGAAGUCAGUCGCAUCUGCUAGAACUCAGCCUUCUUUGGUGUAUUUUCUAGUUGGAUGGGCCAGCAUCACUUUUGGCUGCUGGAAAAGGGCGGAAGGAAUGUGGCACCUUUAGGUGUGUUAUAGCCUUCUGUCAUAUACAGUUGCUGGGAGUGAGGAAUGCCUUUGUAGGAUGCUGGCAUAAUGGCUUUAAACGACCCGUCUUGAAACACGGACCAAGGAGUCUAACAUGCAUGCAAGUGUUUGGGUGUAAAACCCAUGCGCGCAAUGAAAGUGAAAAUUGGGAAGGCCUAGCCUGCACCGAUGCCCGGACUUGAGAUUUAUCGACAGUUCUGCGGUAGAGCAUGUAUGUUAGGACCCGAAAGAUGGUGAACUAUGCCUGAAUAGGGUGAAGCCAGAGGAAACUCUGGUGGAGGCUCGUAGCGAUUCUGACGUG
rnacentral:rRNA from 1 species